rnacentral:rRNA from 1 species
CAGUCGCCGCGGUAAUGCGUAGGUGGCAAGCGUUGUCCGGAAUUAUUGGGCGUAAAGCGCGCGCAGGCGGAUAGGUCAGUCUGUCUUAAAAGUUCGGGGCUUAACCCCGUGAUGGGAUGGAAACUGCCAAUCUAGAGUAUCGGAGAGGAAAGUGGAAUUCCUAGUGUAGCGGUGAAAUGCGUAGAUAUUAGGAAGAACACCAGUGGCGAAGGCGACUUUCUGGACGAAAACUGACGCUGAGGUGCGAAAGCCAGGGGAGCGAACGGGAUUAGAUACCCCAGUAGUCCCUGUCUCUUAUACC